GACGAACGCUGGCGGCGUGCUUAACACAUGCAAGUCGAGCGGAAAGGCCACUUCGGUGGUACUCGAGCGGCGAACGGGUGAGUAACACGUGAGUAAUCUGCCCCUGGCUUUGGGAUAGCCACCGGAAACGGUGAUUAAUACCGGAUACGACCACUUCUCGCAUGGGAUGGUGGUGGAAAGUUUUUUCGGCCAGGGAUGUGCUCGCGGCCUAUCAGCUUGAUGGUGAGGUAAUGGCUCCGCAUGGCUUCGACGGGUAGCCGGCCUGGGAGGGUGACCGGUCACACUGGGACUGAGACACGGCCCAGACUCCUACGGGAGGCAGCAGUGGGGAAUAUUGGACAAUGGGCGGAAGCCUGAUCCAGCAACGCCGCGUGAGGGAUGACGGCCUUCGGGUUGUAAACCUCUUUCAGCAGGGACGAAGCGCAAGUGACGGUACCUGCAGAAGAAGCACCGGCCAACUACGUGCCAGCAGCCGCCGCAG
rnacentral:rRNA from 1 species